rnacentral:lncRNA from 1 species
GCAGGUCUGGGGUGAAUUUUAAAUUUUUCUCAUCCCUAGCUUAUUUAAUUUUCUAGUAUUUGACCUUCCUAAAAGCAGGCAACUGUUAACUUAAUGCUAAUGGUGAAAGCGAAAGCAACAUGGUGGAUCCUUCAUUUUAUUCUACUUCACUGCCAAUUUGUGUAACUGGGAAGGACGUAAGUUUUUGCUCUCUGAAAAAAGAAUGUAUUUAUCACAUCUCCUCCCUUGCACAGAAUGAGCAAGAAUUUAUAUUGGGAAUAAAAGGAUAGUAGCUGUUUCUUUCACUUGCUACUUCAGUGGAAGACAG